UACGUAGGGUGCGAGCGUUGCCCGGAUUUAUUGGGCGUAAAGGGCGCGUAGGCGGCCACGCACGUCCGUUGUGAAAUCGCCCGGCUCAACUGGGCGGGGUCAGCGGAUACGGUGUGGCUCGAGCAAGCUAGGGGGCAAUGGAAUUCCCGGUGUAGUGGUGGGAAUGCGUAGAUAUCGGGAGGAACACCAGUGGCGAAGGCGGUUGCCUGGAGCUUUGCUGACGCUGAGGCGCGAAAGCGUGGGGAGCGAGUCCGG
rnacentral:rRNA from 1 species